UCGAGUUUUAAAGACUAAUCAAUUUAUGAUUUUACUAUCUGCUGAAAAUGACAGUGAUGUGAUGUAGGAAAAAUUUGUUUUGAGAAUUACUUCAUCAUCAUAAGCAUUAUAAAUUUCUUUUUAAAUAUUUGAUGUCAUUUCAUAAGAAUUUUAAAAAUUAACCUAGUUUGAUAUAAUUUGCCAGAAAUAAUUUAAGUAUGUAGUGUUAUUAAUUUUCAUUAUUAGUCAAUGGAAAAAACAAAUAAAUAAAACAUUAAGCUUUGAGUUAAUGGGUUUCAAUUGAUUCUAUAUCAAUUGUGGAUAUUUAAUAAUUGGUUCAAUAAUUGGCUGAAGAAUCAAUGGUUAAAUAUUUUCAUAUAGCUCAAAAUGGGCAUUUUCAACACUGUACUACUUUCAGGAGUUUUAUUUUAGGAUAUCCUUAUAAUCUAGUCAUUUUUUUGGAUGUAAUAAAACUAAAAAAAAAUUGAUUAAAUUAUAUUUAAUUUAUUAAAUAUGAUUCAGUUAAUAAUUUAUCUUAUGUGAAAUCAAAUAUUUUUAGAUUUCUGUAAUAUUUAUAACUUUAGUGAUUCAAUAUAAUUAAAAAGACCAUCACAAAAAAAGAAUGGUGCAGUUGAUUAGUUUUAAUAUUAAUUUGUAAUAUUUUGUUAUCUAAAUCGUUUGAUAUGGAGGCAGCCGAAGAUAUUGUGAUUUAUAUUGAUUGUGUUAGAAUUUAUCAGUUGUACAAUUUGUAAAAUGUAAACAAGAUUAAUACUGUAGUUUUAUGAUUCUUAUACAUUACUAAAAAAAUAAUGUGGAUUCAUUUAUGUUGGUUAGGGAAGGAGUAAACUGCAAUGAGAAAAUAAUUAGCACAAAUACGAAUUUUGCUUCUUUUUUAUGAAUCAGUUCAAUGAACUUAACAUCGAAACAUUAAGUGAGAGUAAUUAUUUACCAACCUGCUUUCAUUGCUUUGGUAUAAAUGUCUUUUUAGCAUUCAAAAUAUUUGCAAAAAUUUCAUUUUUAAAUAGCAUUCUUUAUAUAUAUUAACAUAAUUAAAAAUUUUUAAAAACUAAGUAAUAUUCAUCUAUUUUUAAAAUAUCUCCAUUUCAAGAAGUUCCAAUGAAUAUAAUAAAGAAUGGUAACAAUUUAUGUUGCCUUUUAUUUAGACAUUUAUUAACUUCUUUAUAAAAAAUAAUUUUUAAUUAAAUCAUAAAAUUGCUGUUUACUCCAUUUCUAUGGACAUUAGUUUUAAAUUGAAUCCAGACUGAUCCUUUAAUAGCAUUUUCGAAUAUUUUUUAUGGAAAUUUCCGUUUUCUUUAGCAUAGUGUAGGCUAAAGGCAAAGAAAAUUGUUAGAGCAUGUUUUCACCUUCUAUAAAUAUUUGUGAUAGUGAUGUUUUUGACUUCGCAGUUCAAGCAAAUGUAUAUUUGUUAAUAUAGAACUGCCUUAUACUCUUCAUUGUAGUAAAACACUAUUUUGUUGUUUUUUUAAAAAGCUUUUUUCAGAUUCUGGCACCACUUAGCAUUCUCAGAGUACUGAAUAGCAGUUGAAGAUUAUAGAUAAUUUGUGAAAAAAUCCUUGAUGAAUCCAGAAGCCUAUACUCUUUAAUGUCCUAUGAGAAUUAUAAAGCAAUCCUGAUUUGACGAAGCACAAUGUUAAUCUAGAAAAAAAAUUUCCUUAAUGGACUCUUUUAAUGUAAAAGUGCAAAAGAAAAAUCUUUUUUUUGCACAUUCAAUGCAUUUGUGAACUGUGAUAAAUUUUAUACUUGUAUAUUUGCUUUUGUAGAAUGAUAUUUCCAUAAAUUAAUGGAUACUCCUACAAAUGUAUUUUUACUGUGAUAUUUACAUAUUGUUAAAUAAAUUUUUUGAAUUUAA